GGGCCCCACUGCCACAUGGCCAAAUCUGAUUGACCCAUGCUUUAGUGGGGGACGUGUAGGACCUCUUGGGCAGCACAAAGCCAACAUUGUUGACCACAUUUUCAAUCACAAUUCAUUUCCCCACUUCACAAAGAAUUAAGAGAGAGCACCACACGUUGCUAAUAAUCUUGGCAGCACAUAUAGCCUCUUUUGUUGACUAAUCCAUCACCCACAAUUUAUUUCCCAACUCCAUCAAAAUAGAGUUAGUGGGAGAAGCUCUCAAACUUAAAGAGAGAGAGAGAGAGUCACGGCUGCACUGUUCACGCGCCACUGUUCACACCGCCACUAUUCACGGCGGCGCACUGUUCACGAUGCUACUAUUCACGGCGGCGCACUGUUCACGACCGUCACUGUUCACGGCCAGCCUUGUUUUAAAAAAAAAAAAAUUGAUUAAAUCUCCAAGGUGAUUUAAAUGUCCCAAAGGAAGCGGCAAGUUAGGAUUUAAAUUGAAGAAAGAAGAGGCGGUGCAAUUGGUGCAAGCAAGUGUAGAAUUUGCUCCGAUUAAAUUAAGACCUUGGGGAGCCCGAGGCGUAGAUUGGGAUUUACUUUAGAUUGGCUAUCUUGGAGUGCCUACGAGGUACAGACGCACAAUUUGGUGAUCCACCAGUUUAGGACACUCUUCUGCUGUUUGGAGUGCUCUUCUCAUUUCAGAGCAUAUAUUUUGGUAUAUAUACUUGUUUGAUGCAUAUGUAUAUAUUUGUUCAGGGGUACGGCGGGGCCCUGUUCCGCCAUAUGAUCCGUUUGGUCUGUUUAGAGGUCUGUAGACGUAUUUGUGGGUGUGUGUGCCUACUUCUGUUCAGAUGUGUUUGCAUGAUCCUAUUCGUUAUGGCAGCCUUGUCGGCGUGCAUUCGUAUAUGUGUUUUGGGCCGUUGUGUCAUUUGAUAGCCUUGUCGUCUUUUGAUACAUUUGACAGCCUCGCCGGCUUUUUGAUAUAUGCAUACGUAUAUGGUUGCGCUGAAAUGCGUCUCAGUCAGUUUGAUAUGAUUUGUGGCAGCGUGUGAUAUUUGUGCCCGUGUACGCUAUCUGUAUGUGAUUCUGACUGAAUA